GUGCUGUAUGAAGGUUGACUACAUUUUCAAGUGGACAAGACGGGAAAAACGCAAGGGAACAAGAAACAAGAUAAGCAUGGCAUCCCUUCUCUAAUCAGCUCUGCAAUGGCUGCUGUACUUCCAGGGCACGUCACAGAGCAGGACC
rnacentral:lncRNA from 1 species